CCUACGGGAGGCAGCAGUGAGGAAUAUUGGUCAAUGGGCGCGAGCCUGAACCAGCCAAGUCGCGUGAGGGAAGACGGUCCUAUGGAUUGUAAACCUCUUUUGUCGGGGAGCAAAAGACGCCACGCGUGGCGUUCCGAGAGUACCCGAAGAAAAAGCAUAGGCUAACUCAGUGCCAGCAGCCGCGGUAAUACGGGGGAUGCGAGCGUUAUCCGGAUUUAUUGGGUUUAAAGGGUGCGCAGGCGGAAGAUCAAGUCAGCGGUAAAAUUGAGAGGCUCAACCUCUUCGAGCCGUUGAAACUGGUUGUCUUGAGUGAGCGAGAAGUAUGCGGAAUGCGUGGUGUAGCGGUGAAAUGCAUAGAUAUCACGCAGAACUCCGAUUGCGAAGGCAGCAUACCGGCGCUCAACUGACGCUCAUGCACGAAAGUGUGGGUAUCGAACAGGAUUAGAUACCCUAGUAGUC
rnacentral:rRNA from 1 species